UACAGAGGUCUCAAGCGUUGUUCGGAUUCAUUGGGCGUAAAGGGUGCGUAGGUGGCGAGGUAAGUCUGGUGUGAAAUCUCGGGGCUCAACCCCGAAACUGCACUGGAUACUGCCUUGCUCGAGUACUGGAGAGGAGAUUGGAAUUUACGGUGUAGCAGUGAAAUGCGUAGAUAUCGUAAGGAAGACCAGUGGCGAAGGCGGGUCUCUGGACAGUUCCUGACGCUGAGGCACGAAGGCCAGGGGAGCAAACGGG
rnacentral:rRNA from 1 species